UACGUAGGUGGCAAGCGUUGUCCGGAUUUACUGGGCGUAAAGAGCGCGCAGGCGGUCGAAUAAGUCGAAUGUGAAAGCCCCCGGCUUAACUGGGGAGGGUCAUUCGAUACUGCUCGACUUGAAGGCAGGAGAGGGAAGUGGAAUUCCCGGUGUAGUGGUGAAAUGCGUAGAUAUCGGGAGGAACACCAGUGGCGAAGGCGACUUCCUGGCCUGUUCUUGACGCUGAGGCGCGAAAGCUAGGGGAGCAAACGGGG
rnacentral:rRNA from 1 species